rnacentral:miRNA from 1 species
AGCUCGCUGGCAGAGACUUUCU